rnacentral:rRNA from 1 species
GUAAUGCUUGGGAAUAUGCCUUAUGGUGGGGGACAACAGUUGGAAACGACUGCUAAUACCGCAUAACAUCUCCGGAUCAAAGUGGGGGACCUUCGGGCCUCACGCCAUAAGAGUAGCCCAAGUGGGAUUAGCUAGUUGGUAAGGUAAUGGCUUACCAAGGCGACGAUCCCUAGUUGGUCUUAGAGGAUGACCAGCCACACUGGAACUGAGACACGGUCCAGACUCCUACGGGAGGCAGCAGUGGGGAAUAUUGCACAAUGGGCGCAAGCCUGAUGCAGCCAUGCCGCGUGUGUGAAGAAGGCUUUCGGGUUGUAAAGCACUUUCAGCGAGGAGGAAAGGUUGUACUUUAAUAGAGUGCAGCUGUGACGUUACUCGCAGAAGAAGCACCGGCUAACUCCGUGCCAGCAGCCGCGGUAAUACGGAGGGUGCGAGCGUUAAUCGGAAUUACUGGGCGUAAAGCGCGCGUAGGCGGUUAAUUAAGUCAGAUGUGAAAUCCCAGGGCUCAACCUUGGAACUGCAUUUGAAACUGGUUAACUAGAGUUUUGUAGAGGGUGGUAGAAUUUCAGGUGUAGCGGUGAAAUGCGUAGAGAUCUGAAGGAAUACCAGUGGCGAAGGCGGCCACCUGGACAAAGACUGACGCUGAGGCGCGAAGGCGUGGGGAGCAAACGGGAUUAGAUACCCCGGUAGUCCACGCAGUAAACGAUGUCUAUUAGAAUUUUGUGGCUAUAUGCCGUGGGAUUCAAAGCUAACGCAUUAAAUAGACCGCCUGGGGAGUACGGCCGCAAGGUUAAAACUCAAAUGAAUUGACGGGGGCCCGCACAAGCGGUGGAGCAUGUGGUUU